ACCCUCCAACUGUGGUCCUGUUUCUAGUCUCCAGGACAGUCGCGGAACUCAGCUCAUUUAGAGGUCACUGAUGUCUGACACAACUCGCACUCAGGAAACAAGGCGGCUCCUCCUGGCUUAGACUGCGAGCUGUCCCAGCACGGCGCUGUGGCUUUGCGGCCCUGGAAGGAACGGAGGGAGGCAGCGCCGUCUGACGUGAAUGGGGAGCUAGGUUUGCCAGACGAAGCUCGGAGAUAAAUCACGCGGCGGAAGGAGCCCCGGUGCCCGGCGGGCCUCGCUGCCUUCUCCCUCUGUCAGCUGUCUCAGGCAGCCUGGGAGAUAUAUGGCUGCAGCUGAGGCCCCGGUGGAGGCGGUUUCCUCCCCGAACUGCAGCGAGGACGGCCUGUCAGUCCUCGCCACCCCCUCCGGGCCUGCCCUGACCAUCCCUUCGCCGGGUCCCCCUCCCCGGUGCCACCGGCCUGGCCCUCAGCAGCUCACGGCGGGCCUGCGAAGAGCACUUCUCGGAAGCUCCGUCCAACC